UGAAAAUGAGCUCCGCUUCCUGAAUGGCCGUUUCGAUGUAGGUCGAAAAGAACAGGUUCUAUUGCGGAACUUUGCUCGAUAUGUAUAUAUGCAAAAAGGCUGGAUUCCCCCGGUGAAUAUUAGAUUCCAUUUCAUCUACGACCACAGUACCGGAGAAACAAGAGUAAAAACAAAGGCGGAAACAGCAGAUCUUGAAUGCUGCUCAGUGUUCAGGUAAAGACAAAAAGGCCGGCGUUUUCGCCAUCAAAAAGAGCAACGAGGGAAGAUUCCAGUGAUCGUAUUUUGCCGGAUGUCUAGUGACAACUAAAACAUCAGUAAUUAUACCCAUACGUAUGCUAAACACAUCCUGAGGAGCCACGGGAAUAGCGCUGCACUGCAAAGAUAACUGCAGCCCAAAAUUAUUCGACAAAUGCCAGCUCCAGUGAGUGGUAUGUGCCAAAUUUUGCUGUGUGCUGUGUGCUAUUUAUAAAAUAUUAAAUUGAAACCCAUCGCCAAAACUGCGGGACACGUCUAAAAAAUAACUCCAACGUUAAAACGGAACGAGCGGUUAACCGACUUUCAAAAAUGAAAUCCGAAACACAAUUAAAAAAAAAGCAAUCCAGUUGCUACUCUGUUAAAAUAGAUCUGGCUCUGUGCAAAAUUUUUAAAAUAACUGUGUUAUAAUCGAUAUUUAUUCUAUCUAAUGAUCUAAUACGAGGUAGUAUAAAGAGUACGCAAAAGCACUAGGGCUUGAUUGCAACGCAAGGUGAAUGCUAUAAUUGAACCUCAAUAUGUUUCUUUAAUUAAUAGUUUCUGGUACUAUCGCACAUAAGAAUAUAGACUAUCAAUUCUGGCUACCACACUUAUCAAAAUAUGACCAAUUAAAAACAUGAUCGUUAGGAACCGAUAGUGAGAAUAGAUCCCAAUGAAGAUAACCAGUUAACAAUACUGUAUUAAAUUAAAAUUAACAAUAAGUCAGGGCCAAUAACACGGCCGAAGAAUAAAUGAAGCGCAGAUUGAUUUUAGAUAUUUAGCAAGAAUAUCGAACAAGGUCAUCAUUGAUGAAAAAAAUUUACUAAAUGGUCUGAGUUUUUCGAAAUUUUAUGUUAUUGAAAA